GUUCAAGGCUCUGCGCGUUUGCAGGUCGGAGCGGCUGUGUGCAGACCCAAGGCCGCGCGCUCCGCAGUCUGGGUAAACACUGACCCGCCGCCCUCCCGCUCCACAGAGAAAUGUGCUGGUAAUUUUCCUAUGAAGCAGGUCCUUCCCCUGGGUGUUCUCACCGGGGAGUUCGCGUUUCACGGUCAGUUCUUGGGAGGCCCCUGGAAAGCUGGAAGCCCGGGUGGCGGGGAGAAAAGAGCCGGGGUCCACGGCAUGCGCCCAGCUCCCACAGGGGUGCAGCUGGGGUGGGAGCCCGCGGGCGGCUGAGGUGUGGGCAGACGCGGGUGCCCUGGUCUGGGGCGCAGCCUUGGGGCCAGGGUGAGGUGGAAGGGGGUUGGCGGGACGUGAUGAGCAGGAUGCAGACGAGACGGGGAGCAGUAGCAGGGGUGGGGGUGUCCAGCCCCCAGGCCAGGACCUGGGGCUGAGGACGGGGUAAUCCAGCAAGGUCAGGGCCCUGAGGACACGUGGGCAUCUCCUGAACAAAAUGGUUCCCGGUAUUUACCAGAACGAGAGCUCGUAGGUGGGACCGGAGCACUCAGCCCGUCUGCCUGACCCCGCUGGGCCCUUGGCUCUGGGGCCUCCCUUGACCCGUGUGACCUCUGUGACCUGGCGAGAGAUGGGACAGUGGCGCUGUCACUACUGUGGGCGGGCAGCGCCCCGGUUCCGGUCCACCUGCACCUCAGAGGUGACAUCUGCCAGAUGUGAUCAAGGGGACUUGGAUCCCUGGGCACGGCCCAGUAAGCCCAAGGACCCCGAGGGACAGGCCAGGGGUGACGGAGACAGACGGGAGCCAGGCGUCCACAGGCUGUGGUGCCAGGCCCUGCCAGCAGGCGGCAGAAGCAGGAGAGGGCAGGGGACAGACUCGCCCUGGGAGGCCACCCUGGGCACUGUGGCGCCUUGGCGCCCUGACUCCAGAGCGCCAGCCCCAGGACGGUCCUCCGAGCAGCCCGGCGGGCGUGGGGCAGGUGGGAGCAGCAGCCUGGGGAAGCUGAGGCUGCUGAGCAGGCGGAUGAGGCCAGCUCCUCCUGCCCGGGGCUGGACCGUGGCCGUGCUGGGCCUGGUGUCCGCGACCUCUGGGUGACGUCUUCACAGACAGGACACGCAGAGCGUGACCUCCACGGGAGGCCCAGCCGUCUGUCUUCGUCCCUCGCUGCCGUAGCAAGCCUCAGGCAGCCGACUCUGCACAAGGCUCACUUCUCGCUCUUCCAGAGGAAGGCAGGACAGGAAAGGGCCCGCGGCUCGCUGCUCUUCCACGAGGCUCUGCCCUGUCCCAGGCAGUGGCCCUGGGGAUCCGGUCUGGGCCGUGAGUCCGCUGGACGCCCGUUCAGACUCGGCCAGGCCCUGCUGACUCUCGCCAUCCUGAGGUGACUCUCUCCCACUGGCCCAACUGGGCCACCAGCUGCAUAGGGAGUCUGUCACCCAGCACUGCAGGUGCGGUGGCCGUCCCAUCCAGGGGCGGGAGGCUCCUGGCCGAAUGACGUCGCAGGCCACCCAACGUCACAGUGCAAGACGUGACCCGGGCUGGCCCGGGGGGAGGCUGCCUGGGAGCCCCUGUGGGGCGGGUGCUGGGGCGCAAGCCGGAGGCCGGGCACCAGGGGAGACGUGCUGGGGGCGGAGACCACCUGGGCUGGAGACGCCUGGGCAGCGGCCUGUGAAGAGGCCUUGAAUGCCGCUAGCGUGGACGCCCUGGGCCCCAGACCUCUCCACACCUGCCACUCAGCACUGCCCGGGGCUGCACCGGGCUGCACUGGGCCGGGAGCCACAGCGGAGCCGCAGGAAGGCGCUGGACGGGGUCAGAGCCUGAGGCCUGCCCAGGCCUGCCCGGCUCACGCUGGCUGGAGGGCUUGCUGGGGCGGGGCUGACCGCCCAGGGGUCCAGGGCCCCUGAGCCUCCGGCAGGUCGUGCAGGGCCGGGGCCAGCGGGCGUGGGCCUGGCCGCCCUGGGCUUUAACACCUGGACCAGCGGCGGGGCAGCCAGGACAGGGAGUCACCCUGGCAAAGCACCAGAGUCACGGUUGGACUUGGGGACCUGGGACUCUCGGGCCGCCUCCUGAACAUGUGUUGCCUUCAUUAUUUUCCAAUGACCUUUGGUUUUAUUUUGUGUUCCGAGACCCACCUUCUUUCUUACUUGGCGACCAUGUGGCAGAGGGCUAGGUACCGUGUGAUGUUCAGAUCCACCCACGGAGGGUCCAGUCUCGGUGGCUGGCGCACACAGGACCUCAUGUUUACCACUGGGUUGUGGUAAGAGCAUUUAAAACCUUUUAUUCAGCUAUUUUGAAAAUACGGCAUGGUAUCAUUUGGGAGGGUGGGGAUUGAACCCACAGACACUUCACCACUGAGCCACAUCCCCAGCCCUUUUUAUUUUGAGACAGGGUCUUGCUAAGUUGCUGGGGCCUCGCUAAAUAGCUGAGGCUGGCCUUGAACUUGCGAUCCUCCUGCCUCAGCCUCCCAAAUAACUGGGAUCACAGGCGGGCGCCACCAGGCCCAGCCAGCGCCAUGAUAACUACCCUCACCGCUGUGCCCACAGGGACCAGAACUUAUCCUUCCCUCCUGGACUUCGCUCCUCCUGAGCAAACGUCUCCUUCCCUGCCCACCCAGCUCGGCCUCUGGAAACCACCAGGCGACUCUGCUCCUAAGAGACCAAGGCUGUGUUCAGCGCACAGCGUCACGUGCAGGUGGCUCCCUCUGCUCACCCUGGUGGCCUCAAGGUGCCCUGUUACCACCACAACAGAGUUUCCAGUUAUUUACUUAUUUGUGGUACUAGGGAUUGAACCAGGGACACUUUACCGCUGAGCUACACCUCCAGCUCCUUUUAUGUUUUAUUUUGAAACAGGGCCUUUCUAAGUUGCUGAGGCUGGCCUUGAACUUGUGAUCCUCCUGCCUCAGCCUCCAAGUUGCUGGGAUGACAAGUGCGAGCCCAUCUACUCUUUCUUUUUAAAAGCUGAAUCGCGUUCUGCUGUGGUCUGCACCACAUUUUCAAGUCCGUUCCUCUGCACACGAACACAGGGUCAUUCAGUAGGGGACAGGGACCCUCUGUGCUCCCUGCAGUUCUUCUGUGGUCCUUCAGCUAGAGCUGGUCACGGGAAAAAUAAAUAAAACUUCCAGUAAGUCUGUGUGUCCACGAGGUCUUCACAAGACAGGGAAGUCUGAAGGAACGCCCCAGGUGGGGUCCUGCCCAGACCCAGAGCCGGGGUCUCAGGGGCCGAGCGCAGGGCUG
rnacentral:lncRNA from 1 species